GAUGAACGCUGGCGGCGUGCCUAAUACAUGCAAGUCGAGCGAACGGACGAGAAGCUUGCUUCUCUGAUGUUAGCGGCGGACGGGUGAGUAACACGUGGAUAACCUACCUAUAAGACUGGGAUAACUUCGGGAAACCGGAGCUAAUACCGGAUAAUAUUUUGAACCGCAUGGUUCAAAAGUGAAAGACGGUCUUGCUGUCACUUAUAGAUGGAUCCGCGCUGCAUUAGCUAGUUGGUAAGGUAACGGCUUACCAAGGCAACGAUGCAUAGCCGACCUGAGAGGGUGAUCGGCCACACUGGAACUGAGACGCGGUCCAGACUCCUACGGGAGGCAGCAGUAGGGAAUCUUCCGCAAUUGGCGAAAGCCUGACGGAGCAACGCCGCGUGAGUGAUGAAGGUCUUCGGAUCGUAAAACUCUGUUAUUAGGGAAGAACAUAUGUGUAAGUACCUGUGCACAUCUUGACGGUACCUAAUCAGAAAGCCACGGCUAACUACGUG
rnacentral:rRNA from 1 species